rnacentral:rRNA from 1 species
CCUACGGGAGGCAGCAGUGGGGAAUAUUGGACAAUGGGCGAAAGCCUGAUCCAGCAAUGCCGCGUGAGUGAUGAAGGCCUUAGGGUUGUAAAGCUCUUUUACCCGGGAAGAUAAUGACUGUACCGGGAGAAUAAGCCCCGGCUAACUCCGUGCCAGCAGCCGCGGUAAUACGGAGGGGGCUAGCGUUAUUCGGAAUUACUGGGCGUAAAGCGUACGUAGGCGGUGGUUCAAGUCAGAGGUGAAAGCCCGGAGCUCAACUCCGGAACUGCCUUUGAAACUAGAUCGCUAGAACAUCGGAGAGGUAAGUGGAAUUCCGAGUGUAGAGGUGAAAUUCGUAGAUAUUCGGAAGAACACCAGUGGCGAAGGCGGCUUACUGGACGAUUGUUGACGCUGAGGUACGAAAGCGUGGGGAGCAAACAGGAUUAGAUACCCUGGUAGUCCACGCCGUAAACGAUGAUAACUAGCUGUUGGGCCUCAUAGAGGCUCAGUGGCGCAGCUAACGCAUUAAGUUAUCCGCCUGGGGAGUACGGUGCAAGNUUAAAAACUCAAAGAUAGUAGGACCGUGNGAGAGCGACGACGACGACGACGGAGGAGAG